AGCAUCAGCUCGCAGAAUUCCUGAACCUUCAACCAUCAGCUGUCGUGAACUGGUGCGAACCGGAUCCAGGACACCACGGAUACAAUUACAUAAAAGGGGUCAGCAAGUCACAGCUCAUGAGCCCGGUUCAGCACAAUCCCUACCACCGAGCAUAAAGAUGUGGGAUGCCACUGCCCAGGCGUUUCCCUACUACCAGUGGCUGACUCACGCUGCAACAGUGGAGCCCAGUGGUUGGGACAAAGAUGAUCUGAGAUAUUUACUAUUCAGCCUUUACCUCCUCUGGAAUGGUUUCAAUAUCACAAGAACUUAUCUUCCUGAAGUUUUACAGGAUCCUCUAUGAAACCAUGUCUAACUAACCCAAACCCUGCUUUCCCCCCUCUUGGACGUGGUUUCCAAUAUCCUCUUCCAUUAUUUAUUUUUUCAGGUUCCCUAAUUUUCUAUGAGUCAAUCUGGCUCACAACACUUUCCCUGCAAAUUAUUCCUUUUAUUCAGAUUUUCAUACUUAUUAUAAUAAUGUUGUACAUAGUCUCUUUUAGAAAUUGGCUCUGCAAAUGUCAUUCAAUCAACAUUUAUCCUUUCAAUGCUGUAUAUUUGUAUUUUUCUCUUUCUUUUUUUCCAGAGGACUAGUCAAGAUGUGUCUAUUUAAUUAGUCUUUAUAAAAACCAUGCCUUAGCUUGAGUUAUCAGAUGUAGUUCUAAAGCUGCUGGUAAUACUUUAAUUGCUCCUUUUGUUUUUCUGAACUUCUUUUUUCUAAGGUUUAUUGUACUCCCUUUUCUUAUCUAUUGCCCGAUUCAUUUAUUUUCAAUGAAAGGCAAAAUAAAUUUUUCUGGGUAUGGCUUUGAUUGGA